UAAUACGAAGGGGGCUAGCGUUGCUCGGAAUUACUGGGCGUAAAGGGCGCGUAGGCGGCUUGGCCAGUCAGGCGUGAAAUUCCUGGGCUUAACCUGGGGACUGCGCUUGAUACUGCCAGGCUUGAGGCCGAGAGAGGGUGGUGGAAUUCCCAGUGUAGAGGUGAAAUUCGUAGAUAUUGGGAAGAACACCGGUGGCGAAGGCGACCACCUGGCUCGGUACUGACGCUGAGGCGCGACAGCGUGGGGAGCAAACAGGAUUAGAUACCCUGGUAGUCCACGCCGUAAACGAUGUGUGCUGGAUGUUGGGGCUCCUAGAGUCUCAGUGUCGUAGCUAACGCGGUAAGCACACCGCCUGGGGAGUACGGCCGCAAGGUUGAAACUUAAAUGAAUUGACGG
rnacentral:rRNA from 1 species